rnacentral:rRNA from 3 species
ACCAUAGCAUUGUGGACCCACCUGAUUCCAUGCCGAACUCAGAAGUGAAACACAAUAGCGCCGAUGGUAGUGUGGGGCUUCCCCAUGUGAGAGUAGGACAUCGCCAGGC